CGGGGCGUGGCGCAGUCUGGAUUAGCGCGUCUGAAUGGGGUUCAGAAGGUCGCAGGUUCGAAUCCUGUCGCCCCGACCU
rnacentral:tRNA from 1 species